UACAUGGGGUGCAAACGUUGCUCGGAAUUAUUGGGCGUAAAGCGCGCGUAUGCGGUUACUUAAGUCGGAUGUGAAAGCCCUCGGCUUAACUGAGGAAGUGCAUCCGAAACUGAGUAGCUAGAGUACGAAAGAGGGUCGCGGAAUUCCCGGUGUAGAGGUGAAAUUCGUAGAUAUCGGGAGGAACACCGGUGGCGAAGGCGGCGACCUGGGUCGAGACUGACGCUGAUGCGCGAAAGCGUGGGGAGCAAACAGG
rnacentral:rRNA from 1 species